UACGGAGGGUGCAAGCGUUAUUCGGAAUUACUGGGCGUAAAGCGCGUGCAGGCGGGUAUGCAAGUCUGAUGUGAAAGCCCCGGGCUCAACCUGGGAAGUGCAUUGGAAACUGCAUAUCUUGAGUACUGGAGAGGAAGGGGGAAUUCCCGGUGUAGAGGUGAAAUUCGUAGAGAUCGGGAGGAAUACCAGUGGCGAAGGCGCCCUUCUGGACGGUAACUGACGCUGAGACGCGAAAGCGUGGGGAGCAAAC
rnacentral:rRNA from 1 species